rnacentral:rRNA from 1 species
GAUGAACGCUGGCGGCGUGCCUAAUACAUGCAAGUCGAGCGAACAGACGAGGAGCUUGCUCCUCUGACGUUAGCGGCGGACGGGUGAGUAACACGUGGAUAACCUACCUAUAAGACUGGGAUAACUUCGGGAAACCGGGGCUAAUACCGGAUAAUAUAUUGAACCGCAUGGUUCAAUAGUGAAAGACGGUUUUGCUGUCACUUAUAGAUGGAUCCGCGCCGCAUUAGCUAGUUGGUAAGGUAACGGCUUACCAAGGCGACGAUGCGUAGCCGACCUGAGAGGGUGAUCGGCCACACUGGAACUGAGACACGGUCCAGACUCCUACGGGAGGCAGCAGUAGGGAAUCUUCCGCAAUGGGCGAAAGCCUGACGGAGCAACGCCGCGUGAGUGAUGAAGGUCUUCGGAUCGUAAAACUCUGUUAUUAGGGAAGAACAAAUGUGUAAGUAACUAUGCACGCCUUGACGGUACCUAAUCAGAAAGCCACGGCUAACUACGUG